UUCUAGAAAGACAGAUUCUGACACAGUGUCUACAAGACAACAUUACAAUAUCUGUGGAUGGAAAUUGACUAUUCCCUAGUACUAGAAACGUCUGAGUGGAGAUCAAGCCUUCAGUGAUUUCUGACUAUGGAGUAAUUUACGUUUAGAGAUAAGACAUCAAAACGGAUCAUAGUUUCCUAUCAGAAUCCACAACCAUUAUGAAUGUCAUUGUGUAGAUCUACUCUCAAAUACAUCCUAACAUUGCUAUAUACCCCUGAAGAAGUCCAACCUAAAGGAAGAAACGCAUUGGAUGAUUUAAAUGACCUGAAAAUAUACAGUGGAUCUUUUUUCGUGAGCACACUCCUGUUUCAUUUUAGAUUACUUCAGGAUGGAAGGCAAAAAGCCAAAGAGCUAAAGGGACCAGAAUAACUCCAUCCAGGGACCAGGAAAAAGCAAAGCUGCAGCCCAAGUAGACCAAGAAUUAAGCAGCGCUGCCGCCUAUCCGAAGCCUGGUUGCCAGGAAGCGCCAGUUACCAUGGUUGCAGUGUAAGCUCCGGUUUCCAGGAAGUGACGACAGAUGCGGUUCAGACGCGCUGACGUCACCACAGCCCGGGGAGUGAGGGACGGAUGCAGUUCCCACCCCCCUCCUCCGGCGCGUGUCCCGUUCGCGGGUCUUCUCUUGCAUAUAAGAAUGGAUUUCCGCCCAAACCACCUCUAACUAUUGAUGUGUCUGAGAGAUGAAUGGCAUCUAGAUUUGAGAGAAUCUCCCUUACAGGAAUUGCUCUGAUUUCCAACUUCAUGUGUCUAUGUUCCAUUAAACCCAGAGAAUGAAAAAGCUGCAAACAAAGACAAAAGCAUAGGGGGCUGCAAUCAAACACACUAAAUUAUCUGGAGAAAUUGUUCACACUGGGUUCUGGCCAUGAAUGAAAAGAAGGAUAAGAGAGAUACUUCUGGACAUAUUAAAGAAUGGCAUUAUCAAGUGUACCAGACAAGACAUGUAUAUAAUGCCUAAGCAGAGUGAGCUUUCUACCCAAACAGACCAUAUAUCAUUGGGACUUACGCUUAUAAGAGGAGGAAGCAAGAGUAAUGGGGGCUAACAUCAGGGAAGACAACACAUACAACAGGAAAAAUAGCACUGAAAUCUAGAUUUUAUUUUGCUCAAGAGACAUUCAUUUACAGAAGUUGAGAGUUUAUAAAGGAAAGAAGAUAGAGGAUAUUUUUUGUACACUAACCAUAUGGUGAAGUGCUCAUAAUUCAGUAGCAGCAAUGCCUAAGAGACAGAUGUAGAUAUGCAGAGAGCUUGAUCUAGUUGCAGUCAUUUCAUGUCCACAAAGGAGAACAAAUUGGAACUAAGAUACUUGUGUUUUUUUUCUGCUUCCAGCCCUAGUAUACAGGCAUAAACUUGGCAUAAAAUCAGACUGUGCAUGUUUAACUUGCAUCAGUGUCCAGCAUCCAGAGUAAACAAGCAUAAUCUGUUUGACAGACCCAAGGCUUUCACAGUAACACUUACAGCAUCCUUAUACUUAAGUUUUCAGACAGGAACAAUGAAAAGUUAUGUCCCCUUUGUAGAUGUGAUUUUAAAGAUAAAGGGGGGAGGGGAUGUGAUAGGAUGUGAGAAUCAGAAAGUGAGAGAUUUUGUGAGAGUUCUCCUGGUUUUUGGCAAUCUUUUUUUUUUUUAUUCGGUCUUGCCUUGUAAAUGAUUGCCAUAGGAGAACUCUCAUAAAAGCUUUAACUUUCUGAUUCUUACACCCUAUUACAUUUCCCCCAAAGACUUGAUUGAAAACAGGAAAAAUUAUUAUGAUUCUGCUUAUGGUUACUCCAAUGCGACUUAAGAAAAAUGGAAAAAGACCCAAAGGCACUGUCUGUCUUGAAAUAAUCCACUCCAUAGUACAAAUCACAGUGGACUUCUUCAAUAUUUCUCUGAAAGUAGCCUCACCAGUGUCUCUCGUGCAUAGAAGAUGGAGGAAAAACAAUUAAAUGGCCAGAUUUUGUAGAUAUGUGAUAUAUGUUCACCAGAGCCGGCAACAGAAAUCUUUGGGCC